rnacentral:rRNA from 1 species
AAUCCAUAGGUUAAUGAGGCGAACCGGGGGAACUGAAACAUCUAAGUACCCCGAGGAAAAGAAAUCAACCGAGAUUCCCCCAGUAGCGGCGAGCGAACGGGGAGGAGCCCAGAGCCUGAAUCAGCAUGUGUGUUAGUGGAAGCGUCUGGAAAGGCGCGCGAUACAGGGUGACAGCCCCGUACACAAAAGCGCAUGUGCUGUGAGCUCGAUGAGUAGGGCGGG